UCGGCCACUCGACGCCGCUUGUCGGCGGCCACUCGACGUCCGGGGAGCAGCGGCGCACCACCAUGCUUCGAGUCGUGCUUCUCACGCUGGCGGCUACCUCUGCAUGGGCAGGAAACAGCCUGAACGAGCAGGCGAACCAGAACAGGUACUUCCUUCAUGACCGGUGCCGCGUGGGGCUGCAAGAGCAGGUCCACCUCGAAUUGCACGCUAGCCUGGUCUACAUGCAGAUGGCCAGCACAUCUCG
rnacentral:lncRNA from 1 species